UUUGUCUUCAAACUGAAAACAAGGCAAGGGAACUUCAUCUGGAUUACAAAUCUCACUGUAGAGGACACUUUCACUGUCAUUUGCAGUGAAAAUGAAAUGUUUUAUGACAGCAAAGAAAAUGCAGUGCUUUGUGGCAUUAAAAGCAUUUUUAUGGAAUGACACUUAGAAAAUAUCUAUUUGCCUGACAGAUCUUACUGAAUUAGCUGUCCCAAACUGUCUCUGAGGACGGUUACAACAAGAAGGCAAAAUAUUUAACAGAAAAAAACACCUUAAAAGUCUCAAAAGCAAAAUGUAUCAGGCAGUCCAUAUGCUAACAGUUAGAUCAGCUUUAUUUGCUCCUGCUACAGUCUGAUUACAACAGUUUCAACUGUAACGUUAAAGGGGCGGGGUUUGUGGAAAGGGGUGUGUAUAAUUCAAACUACAUUUCAGAAUAGCUAAAUGGCUAACAUCACUUGACUUUUGGCAUUAAUGAGAACUGGUGAAAUGGCUCAGUCAUUCUUAUUUGUCUCACACGCGGCCCGUGAGACGUCCUCAUUCACUAUUGAGCAGGGCUCCUGCGGCCCAACUACAAUUGAAAAGUGGUGAAUCAGUGGGAGUCUGUUAGCGUGGCGUGUGAGCCUGUGAAGCUGCCACGUCACUUCAUUUCUUCCCUUCCUGUUCAUAUGAGUUGAGCUGUCGGUUCUGGCAUGGUUUAGUUUCCCAGUCUCUUUUUGCACAAUGAAUUAUCAUGGCUGCUCCAUCUCCUCAUAGCGCCUCCUCUGCUCUCUCUCCUGCUGUUUCCGGAGCUCUCUCUCCCGUCGCUGUUGCUGUGAGGCGACAAAUACAUGUGCUCAUUAAUAAACCUCCCUUUACACCCC